rnacentral:rRNA from 1 species
UGGCUGCAGUGGGGAAUUUUGGACAAUGGGGGCAACCCUGAUCCAGCAAUGCCGCGUGAGUGAAGAAGGCCUUCGGGUUGUAAAGCUCUUUUGUCAGGGAAGAAACAGCAGCUCUAACACAGUCUGCGAAUGACGGUACCUGAAGAAUAAGCACCGGCUAACUACGUGCCAGCAGCCGCGGUAAUACGUAGGGUGCAAGCGUUAAUCGGAAUUACUGGGCGUAAAGCGUGCGCAGGCGGUUAUGUAAGACAGGCGUGAAAUCCCCGGGCUUAACCUGGGAAUUGCGCUUGUGACUGCAUAGCUAGAGUAUGUCAGAGGGGGGUAGAAUUCCACGUGUAGCAGUGAAAUGCGUAGAGAUGUGGAGGAAUACCAAUGGCGAAGGCAGCCCCCUGGGAUAAUACUGACGCUCAUGCACGAAAGCGUGGGGAGCAAACAGGAUUAGAUACCCGGGUAGUC